rnacentral:rRNA from 1 species
ACGGUCCAGACUCCUACGGGAGGCAGCAGUGGGGAAUAUUGCACAAUGGGCGCAAGCCUGAUGCAGCCAUGCCGCGUGUGUGAAGAAGGCCUUCGGGUUGUAAAGCACUUUCAGCGGGGAGGAAGGCGGUGAGGUUAAUAACCUCAUCGAUUGACGUUACCCGCAGAAGAAGCACCGGCUAACUCCGUGCCAGCAGCCGCGGUAAUACGGAGGGUGCAAGCGUUAAUCGGAAUUACUGGGCGUAAAGCGCACGCAGGCG